AACGAACGCUGGCGGCAUGCCUAACACAUGCAAGUCGAACGAGACCUUCGGGUCUAGUGGCGCACGGGUGCGUAACGCGUGGGAAUCUGCCCUUCGGUUCGGAAUAACUCAGGGAAACUUGUGCUAAUACCGGAUAAUGACGUAAGUCCAAAGAUUUAUCGCCGAAGGAUGAGCCCGCGUAGGAUUAGCUUGUUGGUGGGGUAAUGGCCCACCAAGGCGACGAUCCUUAGCUGGUCUGAGAGGAUGAUCAGCCACACUGGGACUGAGACACGGCCCAGACUCCUACGGGAGGCAGCAGUGGGGAAUAUUGGACAAUGGGCGAAAGCCUGAUCCAGCCAUGCCGCGUGAGUGAUGAAGGCCUUAGGGUUGUAAAGCUCUUUCAGUGGGGAUGAUAAUGACAGUACCCACAGAAGAAGCCCCGGCUAACUUCGUG
rnacentral:rRNA from 1 species